rnacentral:rRNA from 1 species
AAUAUUUGACAAUGGGGGCAACCCUGAUCCAGCCAUGCCGCGUGUGUGAAGAAGGUCUUCGGAUUGUACUGCACUUUAUGUUGGGAGGAAGGGCUUUAGGCUAAUACCCUGAAGUUUUGACGUUACGAACAGAAGAAGUACCGGCUAACUCUGUGCCAGCAGCCGCGGUAAUACAGAGGGUGCAUGCGUUAAUCGGAAUUACUGGGCGUAAAACGCGCGUAGGUGGUUCAGUAAGAUGGGUGUGAAAUCCCCGGGCUUAACCUGGGAACUGCUUUCAUAACUGCUGAGCUAGAGUACGGUAGAGGGUAGUGGAAUUUCCUGUGUAGCGGUGAAAUGCGUAGAUAUAGGAAGGAACACCAGUGGCGAAGGCGACUACCUGGACUGAUACUGACACUGAGGUGCGAAAGCGUGGGGAGCAAA